rnacentral:sRNA from 1 species
AAAUUCUUAAAGAGACAGGCGCCCGCUCCGGCCGGCACCAUGGACAGCGAGGCAUUCCAGAGCGCGCGGGACUUUCUGGACAUGAACUUCCAGUCGCUGGCCAUGAAACACAUGGAUCUGAAGCAGAUGGAGCUGGACACGGCGGCGGCCAAGGUGGAUGAACUGACCAAGCAGCUGGAGUCGCUGUGGUCAGACUCUCCUGCGCCUCCUGGCCCGCAGGCCGGACCCCCUUCUAGGCCGCCCCGGUACAGCUCCAGCUCGAUCCCUGAGCCCUUCAGCAGCCGAGGGUCCCCCCGGAAGGCGGCCACCGACGGCGCAGACACCCCGUUCGGACGAUCAGAGAGUGCCCCAACCCUGCACCCCUACAGCCCGCUGUCCCCCAAGGGCCGGCCGUCGUCGCCACGCACCCCGCUCUACCUGCAGCCGGACGCCUACGGCAGCCUGGACCGCGCGACCUCGCCCCGGCCCCGCGCCUUCGAUGGCGCAGGCAGCUGCCUCGGCCGUGCGCCCUCCCCGCGGCCCGGGCCAGGCCCGCUCCGCCAGCAGGGUCCCCCCACGCCUUUCGACUUCCUGGGCCGCGCAGGCUCCCCCCGCGGCAGCCCCCUGGCGGAGGGGCCCCAGGCCUUCUUCCCCGAGCGCGGGCCGUCACCGCGCCCCCCUGCCACAGCCUACGACGCGCCGGCGUCCGCCUUCGGGAGCUCCCUGCUAGGCUCGGGCGGUAGCGCCUUUGCCCCGCCUCUGCGUGCGCAAGACGACCUGACGCUGCGCCGGCGGCCCCCAAAAGCCUGGAACGAGUCUGACCUGGACGUGGCGUACGAGAAGAAGCCUUCGCAGACAGCGAGCUAUGAACGUAAGUGGUGGAGGCCCGGGGAAUGCACGACCCGGAGGAGAGGCAGCCCCACAGACCCUAACGAUUCCCGCCCCGCAGGCCUGGACGUCUUCGCGCGGCCUGCCUCGCCGAGCCUUCAGCUGUUGCCUUGGAGGGAGAGCAGCCUGGAUGGACUGGGGGGCACCGGCAAGGACAACCUCACCAGCGCCACCCUGCCGCGCAAUUACAAGGUCUCUCCUCUGGCCGGCGACCGGCGUUCAGAAGCCGGCAGCUACCGGCGCUCGCUGGGCUCCGCGGGGCCGUCAGGCACUUUGCCUCGCAGCUGGCAGCCCGUCAGCCGCAUCCCCAUGCCCCCCUCCAGCCCCCAGCCCCGCGGGGCCCCGCGCCAGCGUCCCAUCCCCCUCAGCAUGAUCUUCAAGCUGCAGAACGCCUUCUGGGAGCACGGGGCCAGCCGCGCCAUGCUCCCUGGGUCCCCCCUCUUCACCCGAGCACCCCCGCCCAAGCUGCAGCCCCAACCACAACCACAGCCCCAGCCACAACCACAACCACAGCCCCAGCUGCCCCCACAGCCCCAGCCCCAACCCCAAACCCCUACCCCAGCCCCUCAGCCUCCCCAACAGACAUGGCCCCCUGUGAACGAAGGUGAGUCAGCAAUGAGGGCCCUAGAGGACUGGGUGAAGGGAGGACAAAUGGCAAGGGGACCAGACCAGCUCUGGGGAGGUGGGGAGAUCAUAGCCAAAUGCCUCUUUACAAGCACUGUCCCUGCAGAGAGCUAGCCCAGGUGAGUUUGGGAAUUUGGGUAGGAGCCAGGGAUAGCUCAAAGGUUAAGUGUGGACCCUGAAGCCAGACUGCCCGGUUCCACACUAUGUGACCUUGGGCAAGUCACUUAACCUCACUGGGCCUCAAUUUUCUUGAGUGUAAAAGGGAAAUAAUGGGCUGGGCACGGUGGCUCAUGCCUGUAAUCCCAGCACUUUGGUGGGCUAAUGCAGAUAGGAUUGCUUGAGCUCUGGAGUUCAAGACCAGCCUGGGCAACAUAGUGAAACUAAAAUAGCCUUUACUAAAAAUAAAAGUACAAAAAAUCUGCCGAGCAUGGUAGUGGGCGCCUGUAGUACUAGCUACUCAGGAUGCUGAGGUGGGAGGAUCGUUUGAGCUUGGGAGACCUAGGCUGCAGUGAGCUGUGAUAGCGCCACUGCACUCCAGCCUGGGUGACAGAG